GAAAGGCUUUCUGUCUAAAGCCUUUCCAUACUGGUGCUCGAUGUUUUCAGUUUGGGGACACCAAAAUUAGUGUACCGCUAAAGACACGUGGUCGACACGUUGUUGACACGUUGCUGACACUUUGUUGACACGUGACCCAAUUACCGGCCUACCAAGUGCCUUUGGUGACCGCUAACAGCAACUGUGGAACAGUGCAGUGCCCUUUUUUGGAGCAACGUACGAGUAGUGCCCAUGGAUUAUGACCCCGCGACCCCAAUCUACGUGGCGGUCCGCAAUUCGCUACUUCAUACUGACUGGCGUCCGGCAUCGUCCCGAAUUUGGCCACAAUCUGCUCUCGGGACCCCUAUAGGGCUCCCUGACCUGCUCCAUCUCCGCCAUCGUCAAUGUACUGCGCAUCCACCCAGGCCAGGACUGCACUUACUUACGGGAAGGAGUAUUUGCAAGAUGGAACCUGGGAACUGGAAGACGACGAAGAGGAAGCGUGGGAAUCCGGCGGCAAUGGCUGGGAUGUAAGUCCAACAUUGCUGGUGCCAGAGUUGCCACUGCUUGCUUAUAAGGGAAUCAUGUGUGUUGCCUUUUUGCCUUUUCCGACGUCCUCCUCCGACUGUACUCCCGAUCCCAGGACUGAACUUACGGGAAGGAGUGCUUCCAAGAUGGGAGACGAAGAAGAAGAAGCCGCUGAAUCCGGCGGCAAUGGCUGGGAUGCUGCGUUCUCGAGAGGAAGCGUUAUUUCUGCAUUCCAAGAAGGACGGCACAAUGUGUCGGACUGUCCGCGUCGCAUUGAACUGGUCCGAUGAGGCUGCUAUUGCACACACAGUGAGGGAACUCCCAUACGGGAACUCGGAAGUACUGCUACAGUACAGGUAUAUCACCCCGUGACGACCACAUCGAAGUCUGAAAUUGAAGUGUGAAGAUGCUUCAGCAACCCCUUCAUAUUUUUCCAUUGCUUUUAUUGUGCUUCUACUGUGCAUGUGUGUAACCUGUGGGGUAUGCAUGUGAUGACAAUGUAUGCCGGUGACACGGUCAGAUUUUGUCCAUGCGUGUAACGUACACCUGCAUGCUAUCGUUGAAAAG